UAAUAAUUCAGUAACACAAUACGGAAAACAGAAACUGACUCACGUCAAAAAGUGCCUGUUCUAAAAUUUCGUAAAUGUGCCGUUCAAAGGUCACGGUUGAUGAUUUCCAGGAAAUAUUAUAUGUGACAGAAGUUCAGUCCUCAUUUAGUGAGAUACACACGACUGAUAAAUACAUGUUGAAGCAGCUCAGUCAGCCAAUGCCGACUGGAGGACAACACGGCUGUUCCUGCUAUCAUGCAGCAGAACAAUUCCGAAAAGAUAUUACGGUGCUGCACUUACAAUGUAAGGACCUGGAAAAUAAAAUCGCAGAAAAGGAACAAAUUCGAUUAAAGUUACAUAAUGAAGCCAGAUAUCUGCUGGAGAGACUGCAUACAAUAGAAACAGUAUUGUUACAGAAGGAAUCAGAAAUCAAAGAAGUUAUUCACAUGAAAUUUGAACCAAAAGAUGUCGCACGACACAAACAUACCGACACGGAAGCAAAUGCAGGAAAAGGUCUUGUUGAUGAAAACAAACAUGAAAAUGAAAACAGUGUUCAAAUUACUGGACCAGAAGAAAAAGAGAAAAUGACACAAGGUCCUUGGGCUGGACCCAUACUGAGAAACACAUAUAUCAGUAAAUACUCACAAGCAGGAAGAAGUACAGUAUCAGAUUUGGAAGACAUAUCAAAAGUUGAAGAUAUAUCAAUGGCAAAACAUGUUCUAAAAAUUGAAAGUGACAAGAGAGGUAUCGUAGGCGGAUCUGACAAAGAUAGUAGUAGAGACAGCAAGCAUACAGGUAAAAGCCGUGGUGCAGUUAUCAAACCAAAUUUUAUGAAACCACAACAACAAAAAGCGACAGUUGUGAAACAAGAGGUAGAAUUGGUGUACGAUGGUAGAACACACUGGCGGUCUAUUUUCCAAAUGGAACUUGACAGAAAUCGUGCAAUAUUUCAAUCUCUGACGGGUGUUCUUACAAUGAUUUGCUUGGACAUAUCAGAAAGUAUGACUGAGUCAAACGCUUGGACGGAAGCAUAUACGUUCUUGUCUGAGUAUUUGUCAGGCCUAGAAAAGAUGUCUAAAUCCCACAAUUUGAAAACUGAGUACGUUGCAUUGAUAACAUUCGGGCAUGACACGAAGAUUCAGAUGGGAUACACAGAUCGUUACGAUGACGUGCGAAGGCGACUUGAUGAUAUAAAACUCGGUGGACCUACCCAGAUGUAUGGUGGAGUUAUGUUGACUCUUGCAACAUCAUUAUGUACUGCCCUUCAUAUCGAGACAGUUGGUAAUGGCAUCCCUGUUUUUUCCAAGAUCAUCAUAGUGACAGAUGGUAGACCAACAGAAUCUGACUUAAUUGCUGGUCCAGAUGUAGCAGACACAAGUAAAGUGGACGAGACAAAAGCAUAUAUAUUACAAGAAAUGGAACAUUUUCAGAGGAGACUAAAAGAUGUGUAUUUUGUUGCGGUUGGCAAUCCAGACCUGGAUUUUGUCAAUACAAUGGCCACUUGUUCUGGAGGAAUGCUUCUAGACUACAGACACGGAAAACGAUUUUCAAGAAGACAGUAUUUGGCUACACAGUUUUCGCGUCCAUCUGGUAUGAUGACUGGCAUUCUGACAAGCGACUCAGAUGACGACUCAGAUGAUGGCCUCUCUGUUGAAGACAUGGAAGAUCUGCUGAAUAUACAAGAAAGGUUAAUGCGCCACGUAUCAGUAAAAAUAAGAAAAGGGGGUGGACGACACCAUUAUGGUGAAAACAACAGUAGUCAAUUGCCGUCUAUCGGCAGCCGUGUGAGGAGAGGCCCUGAUUGGAAUUACGGAACACAGGACAAUUAUGGUCCUGGAACUGUUAUAGGCCACGAUGAUGAUGGUAACGGGGUAUGGGUUGAAUGGGAUACAGAUGGGCAUCAAAACAUUUACGUGUAUGGAUCAGGAAGAUAUGAUGUUCUUCUAAUAGAUGAAGCAAGGAAGUUGAAACCAGGAGAAAUAAUUGCAGUGGGAUGUGAAGUUAAACCAGGAAUAGACUGGAAUUAUUCAGAAGGAAAAAUGAAUCAUGGUGUUGUUAUCAAGGUGGACAAGAGCAACAGGAAAGCAACGUCUGUUUCAGAGAAGCAGAUAUCAACUGUUUAUUUUUCAUUAGAUUCGAUGGACUGAUGGCAAAAGAGAAGAUUACACAUACGGCGAUGAUGGCUUACAAGAGAUAAAAAUAAACACGGGAGCGAAAGAUCGUGGUGAAAGUUGCAACGCAACAGAUUCAAGGGUCGGUUCCAGCAACGAAUGGAAACCUCCGCCCGCAUUGACUAUUGAAGAAUUCGAAACUAGAAAGACAAGGAAUAAAAACAAAAACUUGCGUUAAAAGUAAC
rnacentral:misc_RNA from 1 species